rfam:Gossypium hirsutum cultivar TM-1 chromosome 5, whole genome shotgun sequence
UAUUAAAAAAUUCAUCUAUUUCUACUAUUAAAAACUUACGUGACUGACAAAAUAAUCAAACAGUUACACAUGGCGUGCCAUGUGUACCCCAUGUAGACACACAUGAACCAAUUUUUAACCAUAGAAAUAGAUGAAAUUUUUAACA